GGGGCGGUCAACGGGCUACGCUGGCUUGACAGGGCUGGGCUCUUCAGAACAGAAGCAUGGAUCUCGGAAUCCCUGACCUGCUGGACGCGUGGCUGGAGCCCCCAGAGGAUAUCUUCUCGACAGGAUCCGUCCUGGAGCUGGGACUCCACUGCCCCCCUCCAGAGGUUCCGGUAAUUAGGCUACAGGAACAGGGACUGCAAGGCUGGAAGUCCGGUGGGGACCGUGGCUGUGGCCUUCAAGAGAGUGAGCCUGAAGAUUUCUUGAAGCUUUUCAUUGAUCCCAAUGAGGUGUACUGCUCAGAAGCAUCUCCUGGCAGUGACAGUGGCAUCUCUGAGGACCCCUGCCGUCCAGACAGUCCCCCUGCCCCCAGGACAACCAGUUCUCCUACGCUCUAUGAGGUUGUCUAUGAGGCAGGGGCCCUGGAGAGGAUGCAGGGGGAAACUGGGCCAAAUGUAGGCCUCAUCUCCAUCCAGCUAGGUCAGUGUUCUUUGUGGGAAGGGGGAAAUGGCCCUUCGUGACUGGCCCUAACCAUGGGGUUAAGGGGGUUUACCCAACCUGUGCCACUACCCCGGCCGUCCUACUGUCAGGGUGUUCCUAAGUCUCCUUUCUCCC
rnacentral:sRNA from 1 species